AGCGAACGCUGGCGGCGUGCCUAACACAUGCAAGUCGAACGUGAAAAGGGAAACCUGAGUAAAGUGGCGUACGGGUGAGUAACGCGUAGGUAAUCUACCCCAGAAUCUGGAAUAACCUGCCGAAAGGCGGGCUAAUACUGGAUAGAGCGAGGGAACUCGUAAGAGAGUUUUUCGGGAAAGGGAGCCCGCUAGGGCCUUCGUUCUGGGAUGAGCCUGCGUCUCAUUAGCUAGUUGGUAAGGUAACGGCUUACCAAGGCGAUGAUGAGUAGCUGGUCUGAGAGGAUGAUCAGCCACACUGGAACUGAGACACGGUCCAGACUCCUACGGGAGGCAGCAGUGGGGAAUCUUGCGCAAUGGACGAAAGUCUGACGCAGCCACGCCGCGUGAGUGAAGAAGGCCUUCGGGUUGUAAAGCUCUGUCGGAUGGGACGAACAUCUUCAUAGUGAAUAGCUAUGAGGACUGACGGUACCAUCAAAGGAAGCACCGGCUAACUCCGUG
rnacentral:rRNA from 1 species